rnacentral:tRNA from 1 species
AAGACUUUAAGUUAUAUAAACUAAUAGCCUUCAAAGCUAUAAAAGGAGUAUCCAAGUCUUG